rnacentral:rRNA from 1 species
CCUACGGUGGGCAGCAGUGGGGGAUAUUGCACAAUGUGGGGAACCCUGAUGCAGCGCCGCCGCGUGGGUGAAGAAGCGCCUCGUCGCGUAAAGCCCUGUCAGCAGGGAAGAAAAUGACGGUACCUGAAGAAGAAGCCCCGGCUAACUACGUGCCAGCAGCCGCGGUAAUACGGAGGAUGCGAGCGUUAUCCGGAUUUAUUGGGUUUAAAGGGUGCGCAGGCGGAUUUUUAAGUCAGCGGUAAACUCGUGGGGCUCAACCCCAUCCAGCCGUGGAAACUGGGGAUAUAGAGUGUGCGAGAGGUAUGCGGAAUGCGUGGUGUAGCGGUGAAAUGCAUAGAUAUCACGCAGAACCCCGAUUGCGAAGGCAGCAUACCGGUGCACAACUGACGCUCAGGCACGAAAGCGUGGGUAUCGAACAGGAUUAGAUACCCUUGUAGUC